UCAUAGAUAUAAAUAAGAAGAUUCUACCAGAGUACUAAGAAUAAAAAAUUUAAAACUCAAAGGGCUUGGCGGUGUUUUAGACUACUUAGGGGAACCUGUCUCGUAAUCGACAAUCCACGUUAAACCUAACCUUUCCUCGCAUUCAGCUUGUAUACCGUCGUCGCCAGGUAACUUUUAAGAUAAAAAUAGUUAGCUAAUGAAAUAUUUAAGUUUAAGACGUCAGAUCAAGGUGCAGCUUAUGGAAAGGCGUAGAUGGGUUACAAUUAUUGUACUUAUAAUCACGGAUAGCAACUUUAAAAGUAAUUGAUAAGGAGGACUUAAAAGUAAAAUGGAUUAUAUAAGCAUUUUGAAUAAAGCUCUGAAACGUGC
rnacentral:rRNA from 1 species